AGGAGAGACAACCUUCCUGCAGAAAGGAGCUACCUGCUUCAGGUCUACUGAGAGCUGUUCUGCCACUCAAUAAAGCUCUUCUCCAUCUUGCUAAGCCUCCAUUUGUCCGCAAUACCUCAUCUCCCUGGACGCAGGACAAGAACUCAGGACCCGCCUGGAGGUGCCCACAGCAGAAUCCACAUGCCGUCCAUCUGGUCCAGCCUCACGCAGAGCCACAACUGUGCUGGCGCCUGGAGCUGCCAGCCCCACUGCAGCAGCCGGACUGACAUUCAGACGUGGAGCAAGUUGGACUGCAUAGGGACCCACCAGUGAGAUGGACGCUGUCUGUAAACGGUUCUCCAGGGAGGCUGCUCUGCCAAG
rnacentral:lncRNA from 1 species